ensembl:snRNA U6 U6 spliceosomal RNA
AGUGCCUACUAUAUCCCAAAUUUGGAUCAAUAAAGAGCAGAUUAGCGUAGCCCCUCCAUAAGGUUGACACAAAAUACAUGAAGCAUUCCAUAUUUUU